rnacentral:rRNA from 1 species
AACGAACGCUGGCGGCAUGCCUAACACAUGCAAGUCGAACGAGACCUUCGGGUCUAGUGGCGCACGGGUGCGUAACGCGUGGGAACCUGCCCUUAGGUUCGGAAUACCUCCCCGAAAGGGAUGCUAAUACCGCAUAGUGUCUUCGGACCAAAGAUUUAUCGCCAUUGGAUGGGCCCGCGUUAGAUUAGCCAGUUGGUAGGGUAAAAGCCUACCAAGGCGACGAUCCAUAGCUGGUCUGAGAGGAUGAUCAGCCACACUGGGACUGAGACACGGCCCAGACUCCUACGGGAGGCAGCAGUGGGGAAUAUUGGACAAUGGGCGAAAGCCUGAUCCAGCAAUGCCGCGUGAGUGAUGAAGGCCUUAGGGUUGUAAAGCUCUUUUACCCGGGAUGAUAAUGACAGUACCGGGAGAAUAAGCUCCGGCUAACUCCGUG